UUGGGUGAUUUUAAUGAAAUUUUACUGUCUACUGAAAAGGAGGGCGGUAACGCCAGACCUAACGCUAUGAUGAGAGAUUUUCGCAAUUGUUUGCAAGAGUGCGGUCUAGAGGAUGGAUGUAUUGGCGAUCUCUUCACCUGGAGGAGAGGCGAAAUUAGGGAGAGACUUGACCGUGCAGUUUGCAAUGUGGACUGGGCGAAUAAAUUUCCUCGGGCUGCGAUCAUAACAAUUUGA
rnacentral:rRNA from 1 species